UACAGAGGAUGCAAGCGUUAUCCGGAAUGAUUGGGCGUAAAGCGUCUGUAGGUGGCUUUUUAAGUCCGCCGUCAAAUCCCAGGGCUCAACUCUGGACAGGCGGUGGAAACUACCAAGCUGGAGUACGGUAGGGGCAGAGGGAAUUUCCGGUGGAGCGGUGAAAUGCGUAGAGAUCGGGAGGAACACCAGUGGCGAAGGCGGCUCUCUGGGCAGAUACUGACGCUGAGACGCGAAAGCAUGGGGAGCAAACAGG
rnacentral:rRNA from 1 species